rnacentral:rRNA from 1 species
UACGGAGGAGGCAAGCGUUAUCCGGAACUAUUGGGCGUAAAGCGUCCGCAGGUGGCACUUCAAGUCUGUCGUCAAAGACUGGGGCUUAACCCUGGAAAGGCGGUGGAAACUGAAGCGCUAGAGUGCGGUAGGGGUAGAGGGAAUUCCCGGUGUAGCGGUGAAAUGCGUAGAGAUCGGGAAGAACAUCGGUGGCGAAAGCGCUCUACUGGACCGCAACUGACACUCAGGGGCGAAAGCUAGGGGAGCGAAUGGG